GACGAACGCUGGCGGCGUGCUUAACACAUGCAAGUCGAACGGAAAGGCCCUGCUUUUGUGGGGUGCUCAAGUGGCGAACGGGUGAGUAACACGUGAGUAACCUGCCCUUGACUUUGGGAUAACUUCAGGAAACUGGGGCUAAUACCGGAUAGGAGCUCCUGCUGCAUGGUGGGGGUUGGAAAGUUUCGGCGGUUGGGGAUGGACUCGCGGCUUAUCAGCUUGCUGGUGGGGUAGUGGCUUACCAAGGCUUUGACGGGUAGCCGGCCUGAGAGGGUGACCGGCCACAUUGGGACUGAGAUACGGCCCAGACUCCUACGGGAGGCAGCAGUGGGGAAUAUUGCACAAUGGGCGGAAGCCUGAUGCAGCAACGCCGCGUGCGGGAUGACGGCCUUCGGGUUGUAAACCGCUUUCGCCUGUGACGAAGCGUGAGUGACGGUAAUGGGUAAAGAAGCACCGGCUAACUACGUGCCAGCAGCCGCGGUGAUACGUAGGGUGCGAGCGUUGUCCGGAUUUAUUGGGCGUAAAGGGCUCGUAGGUGGUUGAUCGCGUCGGAAGUGUAAUCUUGGGGCUUAACCCUGAGCGUGCUUUCGAUACGGGUUGACUUGAGGAAGGUAGGGGAGAAUGGAAUUCCUGGUGGAGCGGUGGAAUGCGCAGAUAUCAGGAGGAACACCAGUGGCGAAGGCGGUUCUCUGGGCCUUUCCUGACGCUGAGGAGCGAAAGCGUGGGGAGCGAACAGGCUUAGAUACCCUGGUAGUCCACGCUGUAAACGGUGGGUACUAGGUGUGGGGUCCAUUCCACGGGUUCCGUGCCGUAGCUAACGCUUUAAGUACCCCGCCUGGGGAGUACGGCCGCAAGGCUAAAACUCAAAGGAAUUGACGGGGCCCCGCACAAGCGGCGGAGCAUGCGGAUUAAUUCGAUGCAACGCGUAGAACCUUACCUGGGUUUGACAUGGAUCGGGAGUGCUCAGAGAUGGGUGUGCCUCUUUUGGGGUCGGUUCACAGGUGGUGCAUGCCUGUCGUCAGCUCGUGUCGUGAGAUGUUGGGUUAAGUCCCGCAACGAGCGCAACCCUUGUUCACUGUUGCCAGCACGUUAUGGUGGGGACUCAGUGGAGACCGCCGGGGUCAACUCGGAGGAAGGUGGGGAUGACGUCAAGUCAUCAUGCCCCUUAUGUCCAGGGCUUCACGCAUGCUACAAUGGCUGGUACAGAGAGUGGCGAGCCUGUGAGGGUGAGCGAAUCUCGGAAAGCCGGUCUCAGUUCGGAUUGGGGUCUGCAACUCGACCUCAUGAAGUCGGAGUCGCUAGUAAUCGCAGAUCAGCAACGCUGCGGUGAAAACGUUCCCGGGGCU
rnacentral:rRNA from 1 species